AUUUUAUUCUGAAUAAAAUGAGGAACCGUGGCAACAUGGGAGUAACUUGAUCUGACUUGAGUCCUUAUAGGACUGCUCUGGCUAAUAUGCUGAGAAUUCACUAAAAGGCAGAAAGUGUGGAGGCACAUAGACCAGUCAGGGGUUGUUAGGUCCCAGAAGCAGAAGGUGGGGCCUUGGGCCUGAAGGUUGAGACGUGGAUUACUGACCUGGGAGAGUUGGAUUUGUCUGACUGUUAGGGUGUCAAGCCACCAACAAGGACCCUUAAUGUUUCUGUUCACUGCUUCAGAUAACUAUCUCAUUCACUGUCACGACAGCCAACACUUAACACACACCUGACGCUGACUACCGCUUGUUCAAUGACAGAGAUGUUCCUACAGUGCUGAGAAGAAACCUGCCCUGAAGGAUUAACCACGAGUCUGGAGGGUACACUGAUGAAGGCAGGGUAAGGAGACUGAAGAGCUAGACUAACUAGACGCUUCGUCGCUGACUGUAUUGUAUUCACGUCCAUGUUGGGAAUAACACAUUUAUGAUGCCAAAAGGAAGAGGUCCUGAAUUUAUUGGGCAAAUUAAAGAGAUAAUGACGUUUCCUGGGAGUACGUUUUAAACCACCUGGAUAGAUGAAGGAGGUCAUGGUCAGCUUUGAGACCUGCUGACAUUGAGAUCAUAGGAGGUGUAUAGGUGGAGACACAGAGAACAGUUGGAAUCACACCUUGCUCACAUCAGGAACUCCGUAAAUAAGUGUUGGCUGAAACCAGGGUCAUUAUUAUGGAAUUCCUUCUACUGGAGCAAGAAGAAUCCGUACUCAGAUAUUUCAAUGGGAUCGGGGGAGGGAAGAGGUAAACAUGUGACCUGUUUGGCCAUCGGGGUCAGAAACCUGCAUAUAAACUUUGCUGGGAGAUGAGACAAUUGGGAAUGAUGUGAUGCUCUCAAGAAGGCAGCGGCAUGGCUGGAGGGGUGCCAGCGUGUGCUGUGGAGGACAGACCCUGGUCAUCUGAGACCAACUUAGGAAUGCACUGCAGGGGCAGAGAUGGUGCUGGCGAGGCGGCGGACAAGCUGGAGACACCCUCCAAGAGUUUUCACUACCUGGAAUUAAAAACAACCUUCAGGAUACCGAAGCGCAAGUUAAAGAAAAUCGUCUAUGCUUCCAAUGGGAGGCGGGGAACAAAUAGUUCACCUACUUGCUUGGAAGGAAAUAUGGCUGAAACAGCUAAUUGACUUUGCGUUCACUUUUCAACUAGUUGUAUUGGCCUUAUGUUUUUCAUUACAUUGUAAAUCUUUUUACCAUAUUGAAAAUUGAGGAACACAUUUGUUCUCCUUGGUUUCAUUCAUCUGAAGGCUGUAGAUGGACAAGUGUACAAGUGCCAGUGGAAAAUGUCUUUUUGGAAUAUCAGAUUUGGUCCUCGGAGACUAAGAGUACUCCAUGUGUUGAGCAAUAAAUCUGGAUUCUGCUGUGUUUAAUUAAGGCAGUUUUCCUUCUUAGCACCAGAUGUGGAGAUGAGAUUCAAUUUUAUUAUGCCUAAAAGAACAUGUCCUUCCAAAUACAUAUGUCACUGGUAUGGAAUGUGACCACAGCCUGUGGCAAGGCUGUGCACCCUAGGGGGAGAGGUUCCAGUCCUGCCUUCCACACUUGCGGAGUUUCUCGUUGCAUGGCUGUGACUUGUAAGGAGACGGAGUCCCACUGUAUAGAUGCCAGAUGUGAAGGGAGAGCAGGGAAGGACGAGAUGUCAAGCCAGUGAAGGGGAAGAUGGAUGGAAGUUGUUUUCUUGCUAAGUGCAGUAUCCAUGAAUAGAGACUUUGAUCAGCAGAAAGACCUGUUCUGUGCUUCUGCCCUCUUUUGCCGAUUAAUUGAUGAACAUCAAGAGAAUCACCCGGCAUCUCCAUACCAGUCCCUGGAAAGAGUAUCUGAAACAGCACUGUCAUCACCAAGCAAGCACUGUAAACCUUAGGAUGGAAGAGAGCUGACGGUCGUGCCCGAUGGGGCUGAGCUUCCUCUAAAGGUUUCUCAUCAGGAGACAGCCCAACCUAUGCCCAACCAUGUCCAGAAAAAGGAAACGCAACCUCUUUAAGGGAAGCCCAUUCUGUCUCUGGAGAAGUGAAGCUGUUAAAAAUAUCUUGCUCAUAUUAUUGGGCAAAUUCCUUUGCUCUGAGUCUUUCUCCCUUUUGUUCUGGUUUGUUCUCUUAAGAAACAAGCAGAAUCUUCCUUACUAAAGCCAACUAUCUCUUAGGUUCCAGGCAUUCAAGGUGAUUAGUACAUGUCCUUGUGGCCAAGAACGCCAUAGCUGAGCAGAGAGAGGGAGAAAACAACAAACCGACCAAGGUAAGGGGGACAUCUUAUUCAUCCGUAUUUUUAGUGCCUGGUGGGGCAGCUGGCACUCCUUAGACACACUUGAAAGAGUUGAUAGACACAGUAACUCCUCUGCUUUUCUGAUUACAUCCCACGCCAAACUCCAGGACGUUCUGUGUCACCGUGGGGUAACUAGAGCUCUAGCUCCCGCUUCGUGCCGUCCUACCUGGCUUACACCAUCCGGGAGUUACAAGGCACUGCUGCGCUUUCCUGAUCGGCCCUGUCCGCACACGUGUCUGUGCAGCGUCUGCCUAAUGACCCCUCCGCCGUGAC
ensembl:lncRNA